GAUCAUAAAACCAAGUUUUAAGUUUCUUUCAACAUCUUUAUUGAAAAAUAGUUCAAAAAGUUAAGCCUGUGGGUUGUUUUGGUUUUUGUGUCUUUUGGGAGUUUUUUGUGGAUCUGUUGUCCCACUCUGCCUGACCCCAUUUGGGGUUUUCUUGGCAAAGAUCCUGAAGUGGUUUCCCAUUUCCUUCUCCAAUUCAUUUUACAGAUGAGGAAACUGAAGCAAACAGGAGUAAAUGACUUACACAGGAUCACCACCAAACCAUAUUAUUUCAUCAUAUUCAUUUACCAUGACUUCAGCCAUUCCUCAACUGCUGGGCAUCCUCUUACUUUUUAGGUUUUGCCACUACAAAAAAGAGCUGGUAUAAAUAUAUAUUUUUUUGCCUAAAGUAAGUGCCUUUUCCU
rnacentral:lncRNA from 1 species